rnacentral:rRNA from 1 species
GCUUAACACAUGCAAGUCGAACGGUGAAGCUCCAGCUUGCUGGAGUGGAUCAGUGGCGAACGGGUGAGUAACACGUGAGCAACCUGCCCCAAACUCUGGAAUAAGCGCUGGAAACGGCGUCUAAUACUGGAUACGAGAUCAAGCCGCAUGGUUAUGGUCUGGAAAGUUUUUCGGUUUGGGAUGGGCUCGCGGCCUAUCAGCUUGUUGGUGAGGUAAUGGCUCACCAAGGCGACGACGGGUAGCCGGCCUGAGAGGGCGACCGGCCACACUGGGACUGAGACACGGCCCAGACUCCUACGGGAGGCAGCAGUGGGGAAUAUUGCACAAUGGGCGAAAGCCUGAUGCAGCGACGCCGCGUGAGGGAUGACGGCCUUCGGGUUGUAAACCUCUUUCAGCAGGGAAGAAGCGAAAGUGACGGUACCUGCAGAAGAAGCACCGGCUAACUACGUGCCAGCAGCCGCGGUAAUACGUAGGGUGCGAGCGUUGUCCGGAAUUAUUGGGCGUAAAGAGCUUGUAGGCGGUUUGUCGCGUCUGCUGUGAAAAUCCGGGGCUCAACCCCGGACUUGCAGUGGGUACGGGCAGACUAGAGUGUGGUAGGGGAGACUGGAAUUCCUGGUGUAGCGGUGAAAUGCGCAGAUAUCAGGAGGAACACCGAUGGCGAAGGCAGGUCUCUGGGCCACUACUGACGCUGAGAAGCGAAAGCAUGGGGAGCGAACAGGAUUAGAUACCCUGGUAGUCCAUGCCGUAAACGUUGGGCGCUAGGUGUGGGACUCAUUCC